GAAUGUAAGGGGAAUCUGGCUAUAUAGCAUGUCACUCCAUUAAUACAUAGUGUAGCUUGGGACAGUCUAGCUAACAAGUAGAUGUCAUUUUCUCUACUCCCUUCUACAUAUGUGGCCCUCCAGAAGUUGUUCCCUUUGCCCAAGAUGAUGACUUUCCUCUAAAGAGGAAGACUUUUCAUUAGGCAAGAGUAUCUAAGUUGAGACAUUUUCCUAUUAAAAUCUCUUAAGCAAAGAUCUAUCACAGUUGAUUGCACUAUCUGGCAGGAGUGUUUACUACAUAAUUAGGCAAGACUUCUCCAAGAGCCCAAGCCAGGUUUGGGAGAUGG
rnacentral:sRNA from 1 species